CGGGCCGUGGUCGGAGUUCGCCGCCGCGGCCUUCCGCCGGCUGGCCGCCGGGACCGCGGUGGAGGAGGUGGUGCCGUCCGCCCAGCUCGGC
rnacentral:tRNA from 1 species